rnacentral:lncRNA from 1 species
CGGUUCGGAAGAUUUAUCUGGCAGUGUACGCAUUCUGAGAACAGGAGUUGAAUUAGUUCUCAAAAAUGGGAAGAACCUACAUUGUAGAAGAGAGUGUUGGCCAAUAUCUUUCAAACAUCAGUCUCCAAGGAAAAGCUUUUGUCUCCGGUCUUUUGAUAGGACAGAACACCACCCAAAGAAGAGCAAAAUGAGAACCUCAAACAUUCCAAAGCUAAGUUGGAUAAUUUGGAUGAAGAAUGGGCCACAGAACAUGCCAAUCAGGUAUCCAGGGGGACUUUUAGUUCUUGGAGUAUUUAUCAUUACAACUUUGGAACUGGCAAAUGAUUUUCAAAAUGCCCUGCGCAGACUAAUAUUUGCUAUGGAAAAGUGUAUGAAUAGAAAAAGAAUGUGGAAUUUCACAGAGGAGGAGAUCUCAGAACGAGUAAUACUUCACAUUUGCUCAUCUACAAAAAAAAUAUCUUGUCGAUAUUUUGGGUCAUGAUGUCCAUGACCCAAAGAGUUCAGCAAGACCAGCCGAUUGGAAGUAUCAAAGUGGACUGUCUACUUCAUGGCUUUCUCUAGAUUGUCCCAUUCACAUUGAUAUUCACAUUCUACUUUCUUCUACUUCUGUCAGCUAUACUCUGGAAAAAAUUACAAAGAAUGGACUUACAUGCUGGGCCAAGCAAAUAGAAAAUGGUGUUUAUUUGAUUAAUGGACAAGUUAAAGAUGAAGAUUGUGAUCUAUUAGAAGGACAGAAAAAAUCUUUCAGAGGAAAUACUCAAGCAACUAGUCAUUCUUUUGAUGUGAGAGUGCUAACACAAUUGCUUCUGAAUUCAGACCACAGAUCUACAGCCACAGUUCAGAUCUGCAGUGGUUCUGUAAACCUUAAGGGUUCUGUGAAAUGCAGAGCUUAUAUUCACAGCAGCAAACCCAAGGUUAAAGAUGCUAUGCAGGCAGUGAAGAGAGAUAUAUUGAACACAGUUGCUGAUCGUUGUGAAAUACUAUUCGAGGACCUGCUUUUGAAUGAAAUCCCAGAAAAAAAAAAAAAGAUUCUGAAAAAGUGUUCUACAUUGUCCCCAUUCCUGGAUCCACUGUAAAGUUAUGUGAUUAUAAAUUUGGUGAUGAAUCAGCCGAAGAAAUCAGAGACCAUUUUAUAGAAAUGUUAGAUCAUAUGUUCAAAUAGAAGAUGUGGAAAUUGCAGAGGAAGUCAACACAGCUUGUAUGAGCUCUAUGAAUAAUGAAGCUUCAUUGGAACACAAAGAUGAUAAACAGCUAGAGCAACCAAUUAAAACUACAGUAAUGUUGAAAAUUCGGCAAAACAUAGGUGUGACUGCAGCAUUUGCAGUUGCAGUUCUUGCUGCAGGUAUCUCCUUUCAUUACUUCAGUGAUUAGGGUGAGGCACAAAGAGCUUCCUGAUCAUCCAGAGAACAUUGGUCAACGACUAUAAAUAAUAAAGAUAUAAACAGUCCCUCUAUAGUCAAGACACUAGCAGUCAGAUCUUCUACCACACACACACACACACAAAAGAAAGAAAUAUAAAUGGUCAACAAAUAUAUGAAAAAAUGUUCAACAUCUCUAGCAAUUAGCAAAUUAAAACUACAUUGAGGUUUCAUCUUACUCCAGUCAGAAUGGCAAUUAUCAAGAUACAAGUUACCAGAAUACAAGUAACAUUAAUUUAAGUAAUAAAUGUUGGUGAGGAUGUGUGGAAAAAGUUACACUCAUUCAUUGCUAUCGGGACUGCAAAUUGGUAUAAUCACUCUGGAAACCAGUUAUGGGGUUCCUUAAAAAAAU